UAAAGCACCAACACAAAAUCAAUCUGCAAUGCCCCAAAUUCUUCCUAUUCGGGAAGGAUGAGAAGCUUCGACCAAGGUUCGAUUCGAGCGUUAGCGAGAAAGCGUUGCCGCAGGCAACGACCCGAAGGGCGAAGCGCGCAGCGCUGAGUAAUCCUUCCCCCACCACCA
rnacentral:sRNA from 1 species